AUUGAACGCUGGCGGCAUGCUUUACACAUGCAAGUCGAACGGUAACAGGGAGCUUGCUCCGCUGACGAGUGGCGAACGGGUGAGUAAUGCGUCGGAACGUGCCGAGUAGUGGGGGAUAACGCAGCGAAAGUUGUGCUAAUACCGCAUACGUACUGAGGUAGAAAGUGGGGGACCUUCGGGCCUCACGCUAUUCGAGCGGCCGACGUCUGAUUAGCUAGUAGGUGAGGUAAAGGCUCACCUAGGCGACGAUCAGUAGCGGGUCUGAGAGGAUGGUCCGCCACACUGGGACAGAGACACGGCCCAGACUCCUACGGGAGGCAGCAGUGGGGAAUUUUGGACAAUGGGCGAAAGCCUGAUCCAGCCAUGCCGCGUGUCUGAAGAAGGCCUUCGGGUUGUAAAGGACUUUUGUCGGGGAGGAAAUCCCCAGCGCUAAUACCGCUGGGGGAUGACAGUACCUGAAGAAUAAGCACCGGCUAACUACGUGCCAGCCGCCGCCGUAAGAC
rnacentral:rRNA from 1 species